rnacentral:rRNA from 1 species
AUGGGCGACUACGGCAGCGCGAUGACGCGGGGCAACCCGGACGGCGGCUCGCAGGGCCGCCCAAAGGGAGUGCCCCGCGCCAACGUCCAGCAGCUCAAGCUCAUGGGGCAGGGCCACCCGACGGGCCUCACGCCGAACCUGCUCAAGCUGUUCGAGGCGCGGCCUAUGCUCGAGCACAAGCCGCCCGUCCAGAAGCGCAAGUUGCCGGCCUACACGGGGAUGGCGCAGUUUGUGUCGCGGUUUGCCGAGCCUGGCGACCCAGAGUAUGCGCCGCCUGUCCCAACGUGUGAGACUAAGGCCGAAAAGAAGGAUAGAAUCAGGAAACUUAAGCUUGAGCAAGGGGCAGAUAAGGUCGCCAAAGAGCUUCAGAACUAUGACCCACAAAGUGACCCCAAUACCACUUCAGAUCCAUACAAAACACUCUUCGUUGCAAGACUUAAUUAUGAGACAUCUGAGAGCAGGGUUAAGCGGGAGUUUGAAGCCUAUGGGCCUAUUAAAAGGGUACGGCUCGUAACUGACAAGGAUACAAAUAAACCUAGAGGAUAUGCAUUCAUAGAGUAUAUGCAUACUCGGGAUAUGAAAAAUGCUUACAAGCAAGCUGAUGGGAGAAAAGUGGACAAUAAGAGGGUAAUAGUUGAUGUGGAACGUGGUAGAACUGUCCCUAAUUGGCGUCCCAGGAGAUUAGGCGGUGGACUUGGAUCAAGCAGAAUUUGUGGUGCAAGUGCUGACCAGAAGCCGCCUGCCAGGGAGCCAUCGAGUGUUGGGCGUCCCAGAUCAGAAGAACCUAAGAGGGGUGAUUCCCGUGUAGAUAGAGAUCGGGAGAAGUCUCGUGAUAAGGUACGGGAAAGAGACCGCGAUGAAAAUCCCCGUGAGCGUUCUCAUGACAGAAUACGUGAGCGUGAUUCAAGGGAAGAGAGGCACCACCAUAGAGAUCGGGACAGGACUCGGGACAGGGACCGAGGAAGGGACCGGGAAAAAGACCAUGGGCGUGACCGUGACCGUGAUCGUCGGGACAGAGAUAGGGAUAGGGACCGUGGUAGGGAUCAUGAUAGGGAGAAGGAUCGUGGCCUCUCUCAUGAUCGUCACCGUGAGAGAGGCAGGGAUCGCGAAAGAGAUCAUGAGCCUGCAAGUUACGAACGUGAUCGCGCUCACUUGAAGGAUAGGGAUUCUGAAUACAAUGGUGAACCAAAGCAUGACAGGAGCAUGGCUGAUUAUGGGAAGCAUUAUGGCUCUAACCAGUAUGAGCAACACAAUAGUUACGGGUCGUAUCGCUAUCAAGUUCAAGGCGGGCAUGGGCAUGAAACUGAAAGCUCAAAGGGACAUGAGCAUGAAUACUAUCAGGCACAACCCAACACAGAACCUGAAGGCCCUGAAGAAGGUGAGGCAUACGAGGAAGGUGACUACCAGUAUCACCAAGCAGCAGAAGAGCAAAAGACUGAAGCUUGA